GUUGCAAUGAGUUAUUAAAACAAAUCCAAAAACAUGCAUAAGCUUACUAGACUAGUUGAUAAAAAGUUAUCACUAUGGACUGAGAAACUAACUAGAAAAUAUCCUUCAUAGAAUAUAAGAGAGAUUCUGCACAGGAAAAAGGUAUAUCACACUGACAUCUUCCACAACCAGUGAAGAGUCUGCUGAGAGAACUCAAAUUGGAGCGGCACAUGUAGUCCUGAAGUGGCCAGUCUGAUUACAGCGGCUGCAAUGAACAACUCGCUUCACCCUACCACGGUCUUCUGCUCUAACCCGCUUCUUCCUUGGCCUGCCAGGAGGCCGGAGUGACUUAGGUGGGUUUAUAAUAACCUCAACAGCUUGGGCAGCAUCGGGAUCUCCCUCUGUCAUCUCCCUCCAUGAUGACUUAUCUGGAACAGGAUGAAUAGUUUGGGAAUAUGUCUUCCUGUACGUCGCAACAGUAAAGCAACUCUCAGUAAACCGGUGGACAUUUUGCCGGCAAGAAAGUAGUGCUGCCACAGCAUGUGCACAGGGCAAACCAUAGAGUUGCCAGCCCUGACAAAGGCAGCGACGGUUCCGAAUAUCAACAAUAUUGGUACCCUCAUGAGAUAUCACCUCAAACUCAGCUUCAUUAGCACGAAGAACCUGGUAAGUCCGGGCACGCUCAAGAGCAUCCGCAACUCGCAUCUCCGCUGUAGGCACCAGGAUUGACGUCCACUGCAUACUGGUUUCUCGUCGUUCAUUGAACCAAGUCAUAAGCUGCCUCCUGAUGCAUUCCAU
rnacentral:misc_RNA from 1 species